rnacentral:tRNA from 2 species
GCGGAAGUAGUUCAGUGGUAGAAUACAAUCUUGCCAAGGUUGGGGUCGCGGGUUCGAAUCCCGUCUUCCGCUCCA